CCUAAGACAUGCAAGUCGAACGAAGUAGCCUGUGAAGACUGAGUGCUUGCACAAAGUCGGAUCAGAUUCUACUAGUGGCAGACGGGUGAGUAACACGUGGGUAACCUACCUCAGAGACUGGGAUAACAAUUAGAAAUGAUUGCUAAUACCGGAUGAUUCAUAAUUAGAUAACUAGUUAUGCUAAAAGAAGCGUUUGCUUCACUUUGAGAUGGGCUUGCGUUGUAUUAGUUAGUUGGUGGGGUAAUGGCCUACCAAGACAACGAUGCAUAUCCGAGCCGAGAGGCUGAUCGGACACACUGGGACUGAGACACGGCCCAGACUCCUACGGGAGACAGCAGUUAGGAAUAUUCGUCAAUGGGGGAAACCCUGAACGAGCAAUGCCGCGUGAGUGAUUAGAAGGUCUUAUAGAUUGUAAAACUCUGUUGUAAAGAAAGAAACCUUGAGAUAGGAAAUGAUCUCAAGCUGACGGUACUUUACCAGAAAGCCCCGGCUAACUACGUGCCAGCCGCAGC
rnacentral:rRNA from 1 species